rnacentral:rRNA from 1 species
UAGGGAAUCUUCCGCAAUGGGCGAAAGCCUGACCCAGCAACGCCGCGUGAGUGAUGAAGGCCUUCGGGUUGUAAAACUCUUUUGACAGGGACGAAGAAAGUGACGGUACCUGUAGAACAAGCCACGGCUAACUACGUGCCAGCAGCCGCGGUAAUACGUAGGUGGCGAGCGUUAUCCGGAUUUACUGGGCGUAAAGGGCGUGUAGGCGGCUAGAUAAGUGUGAUGUUUAAAUCCAAGGCUUAACCUUGGGGUUCAUUACAAACUGUUUAGCUUGAGUGCUGGAGAGGAUAGUGGAAUUCCUAGUGUAGCGGUAAAAUGCGUAGAUAUUAGGAGGAACACCGGUGGCGAAGGCGGCUAUCUGGACAGUAACUGACGCUGAGGCGCGAAAGCGUGGGGAGCAAACAGG